GGGCGCUUAGCUCAGCUGGUUCAGAGCAUCUCGUUUACACCGAGGGGGUCGGGGGUUCGAAAGUUCGAAUCCCUCAGCGCCCACCA
rnacentral:tRNA from 1 species